UGAUGCCAGGUGUCCCUCUGGAUGUACAUACAGCCUUAGUCUGCCUGAGACCUGUAACCAAGCCCACGAGGACCCUGGGCCUUUCCGUGGCUGGAAAUGAAGGAUGGGGCUGUUCCGUGCUGGAAGACAAGCCAGCAGCCUGAGGUGACCACAGUGCUGGGAGCAGUGGUGUCCUGGUUCAGGGCACACCCCCGUGACACCAGAGCAGGACAGCCUUGGUGGGAGCAGCUGCUUCCCGUGAUGUCCAGGGGCUGUCAGGAGGUUCCUGCUCUCUGGGAAAUCCAGCCGGGAGGUCGGAACAGCAGGAGACAGGAGUGUCCCCAGUGCAGUCCAGGGCCCGUCCAGGCACAGGUACUGAGAGGCUGCUGAGGCCCUCCCCAAGGUUCCCUUCUCCAGGAAAUGAGCUCCAUUCCCUCUGCCUGUCUGCACAGGAUGUGCCUUGGUGUCUCCCUGCUGUCCUUGCUUUGUGCCACCAACACCUUAUGGACUCCUCUGACAAAGCAGGACAAGGGAGGACGAGCACAGAGGUGAGGAAAGCACUGCCCUGCAUCCUGCUGGCAGCAGGAUGACCCCAGGCUGGAUGGGGUUUGUGACAGAGAGGGAUCUGCCCAGGGAUUUUGGCAGCUUGUGGUGUGAGGAGGUGCUGAGUAGAUCCAUAAUUGUGUGGCUGAGGGCUGUGAGGUGCUCACAGCAGUGCCACGGUGUCGCCAAGUUAGUGCUCCGAGACAAAUCUGGGAUCUGUGGGAUGCUGCUGAGUGAUGUGAGCAUCUCCAGAACUCCUCCAUUUCCUUUGCUGAGGUGGGAGAGAGCAGCUGUGUGUGUAUGGAGGCGGAUAAAGGGCAUGGGAUGGGUGUGUGGGGUUUGCAGUCACUGCUCACAGGGAGGCUGCAGUGAGAGCUGCUGAGGUUCCUGGAGUUUGGUAACUCCCAUGCCAAGGGAAACACUCACAUUCACCCAAGGACACACCAAGCCAGGUUAAGAGCAUCAUUCUGUCCCAGAAAUGAUUUUAUUGCACCUUGAGCAGCAGCAGGAUUGGGCCUUGGCCCACUCCAGCAGGUGGAGCUGGAGCCAGCCAGGAGCCUGCACUGGGGAAUUUCUGCUCAUUUCUGGGCCUGACAGGGAGCAAGAAUAACCUGACGUUAUUAAAACCUGGAAGGUGAGUGAGGAUCCUGUGAUUCGCUCCAGCUCUCAGAUCUCUCCCUGUGCUUCCCACUGAGGCAAUCCAGCAGCUCUUCUCCAGCUGGGGUAAAACUGGGGGGACAGGAGACAACUGAGACCUCAGGAGGGACUGACACAGUGCUGGUGUCAGUCCCAGCCUGAUCAGCUCCUUGUGGGCACGGUGAGUGCAGGCUGUGAAAGCUGCAGGUCUCCCUGGGCUGGGAGAGAGUCCCGAUGUGGUUUGGACACUAGAUGGAGACAAGAGGGUUGAGGAUUGACACGGAGCAGGAAUGCUGCUCCAGCAGCAGGGGGGAGAGCCAGCGAGGGGAGUCCUCAGCAAACUGGGGAACUACCCUGGAAUCUGAGCAGCAGAGAACUGAGCCAGUGUGAUCCUGGAGAGCUGGAGCCCUUGAAAGAGGAAGCCUCUUAAAAUAAGGAGAGAUUUUAUCUGAAAAUCAAGUGAACAGUGGCCUGUGUGGCCAGGAUUGGCCACUUUACCCCCACUGCUGUGUUGGGGUCCAAGGAAUCAGUGGGGGAAACUAGAGCCCAUCUCAUCAGCCACACUUUCCUGUCCCACACUGGCCCAGGCUGUCACCAAGGCCUUCCAGGAGGUCAGAACUGGCACUUCCUUGCUAUUUACACAUGAGGACAAUGUUGGUUAAAUACAAAUGUGUUGUUUGCAUUUUGUUCCGUGAUUCCCUCUCACAUUGGUGCUUUGCUGUUGCCGUGUCCUCUUGUUCUGCCGGAGCUAUCCAGCCCAGCAUGAGAGCAAAAGCUGCUCUGUUACUGCUGGAGCUGGUGCUCACAUGUAAAAAAAAACCCAAACCACAUUAAAUCUGAAUGAAAUGAGGUGGGGGAAGCGUUCGGUUGUUUCCUCCCUGCAGAUCCAGCCUGUCCAGUGUCACUGGUGCCAGCUCAGGCCAGAGCUGUUGAUGCAGAGGCCUGAACCAAGCUGGGGACCCUCCCUGCUGCUGCUCUCACUUUUCUGCCUGCUCAGCACUGACAUCAGUCUCACUCUCCACCUCUGACUCCAGCCUGCCUUGUUGCUUCUGGGGCUGGAGGCUGCUUUGCACUGGAGCCAGCAGAGCGCUGGCACGGAGUGGGUGCCCUGCAACAGCAGCAGAGCUGGCGGCAGCCUGACCGUGGCUGGCUUCAUCUCCUGCGGGACUUGGGAGAGCCAGCGCUCCUGGACUCCCCUCACGGCAGCGCCAGGGCACGGCGGGGCUGCCCUCAGCGCCCGCCAUUCCUGCGGACUGGGAGGCCGCGUCUCCCUGGCUGUCCCGGCCCGGGAAGAAGCGGGGUCCCGGCCCGGGGAGCGGCGGCUGUCCCGGCCCGGGGAGAAGCGGGGUCCCGGCCCGGGGAGCGGCGGCUGUCCCCGCCGGGGGUGGCGCGGGGUCCCGGGCCCCUCGCUCCCCGAGCCGCUCCCGCCCGCCUUCCGCCGUUGCCCGGCGAUCGCUGCUCUCCUCCCUGACCUUGGGGCGGGGCCUCGGCGCAGCCAAUGGUAGCGCGCGCUUCACUUCCCCGCAGCCCACCCCCGCCGCUUCGGACCAAUCAGCACACCCAACUGUCUUGAGGGACAGCGCUUCUAUCCAAUGGCGAGGCGAAGUGCGCGAGGCGGGGAGGCGGGGCGUGGUUAACGCGGAUCCCCGGGCAGAGGGUGGGGGCAGGCUCGGUGCGCGGAUUGGCGGCAGCCAUGAGGCCCCGCCUCUCUGGGCGGGGCUCGCGCGGUAGCAGCCAAUGGGAGGCGAGGGGCGGGGCGCGGGAGAGCCGCGUCGCUGCGGGCGCCGAGAACUCCGUGACCUUGUGGCAGCGCGCGGCUCGGAAGAGCGCUCCGGGGAGCCGCCGUGCGCGGGCAGAGCCGUGCGUGCCCGGGACACCCAGCGCCAUGCCGGCCCCCGCGCCCGGCCGGGCCUGCGCCGCGUGCC